UACGGGGGGGGCGAGCGUUGUUCGGAAUUAUUGGGCGUAAAGGGUGCGUAGGCGGUUUGGUAAGUCUUAUGUGAAAUCUAUGGGCUCAACUCAUAGACUGCAUGAGAAACUGCCGGGCUUGAGUAUGGGAGAGGUGAGUGGAAUUCCUGGUGUAGCGGUGAAAUGCGUAGAUAUCAGGAGGAACACCUGCGGUGUAGACGGCUUUCUGGACCAUUGCUGACGCUGAGACACGAAAGCGUGGGUAGCAAACAGG
rnacentral:rRNA from 1 species